rnacentral:misc_RNA from 1 species
AUUCUUCAACCCAAUCUUUUCUUAGUAAUCGAUUGGUGUUUGGAUUCUGAGCGCUGCUGGCUUCGGCCUAGCUCGUUCGUAAUACAUCAGCAUCCCUAAUACAAGUUUGGAUUGACUUGGCGUAAUAGACUAUUCGCUAAGGAUUCAGUGGCAACACUGAGCCAACUUUAUCAAGGAAGCUUCUAAUUGAAAAGUCUACCUUUAG